UACGUAGGUGGCAAGCGUUGUCCGGAUUUAUUGGGUUUAAAGGGUGCGUAGGCGGCCCGGUAAGUCAGUGGUGAAAGCCUCCAGCUCAACUGGAGAACUGCCAUUGAUACUGCCGGGCUUGAGUACAGACGAGGUUGGCGGAAUUGAUUGUGUAGCGGUGAAAUGCAUAGAUACAAUCAAGAACUCCGAUUGCGUAGGCAGCUAACUAGGCUGUAACUGACGCUGAGGCACGAAAGCGUGGGUAUCAAACAGG
rnacentral:rRNA from 1 species